rnacentral:rRNA from 1 species
GGAUGCGAUCAUACCAGCGUUAAUGCACCUGAUCCCAUCAGAACUCCGCAGUUAAGCACGCUUGGGCUAGAGUAGUACUGGGAUGGGUGACCUCCUGGGAAGUCCUAGUGUUGCACCCU